rnacentral:rRNA from 1 species
GACGAACGCUGGCGGCGUGCCUAAUACAUGCAAGUUGAGCGCUGAAGGUUGGUACUUGUACCAACUGGAUGAGCAGCGAACGGGUGAGUAACGCGUGGGGAAUCUGCCUUUGAGCGGGGGACAACAUUUGGAAACGAAUGCUAAUACCGAAUAAAAACUUUAAACACAAGUUUUAAGUUUGAAAGAUGCAAUUGCAUCACUCAAAGAUGAUCCCGCGUUGUAUUAGCUAGUUGGUGAGGUAAAGGCUCACCAAGGCGAUGAUACAUAGCCGACCUGAGAGGGUGAUCGGCCACAUUGGGACUGAGACACGGCCCAAACUCCUACGGGAGGCAGCAGUAGGGAAUCUUCGGCAAUGGACGAAAGUCUGACCGAGCAACGCCGCGUGAGUGAAGAAGGUUUUCGGAUCGUAAAACUCUGUUGGUAGAGAAGAACGUUGGUGAGAGUGGAAAGCUCAUCAAGUGACGGUAACUACCCAGAAAGGGACGGCUAACUACGU